rnacentral:lncRNA from 1 species
UAUAUAGUUGAGCUAGAAUACUAUCGAUAGCAAAUAAGCUUCGUUGCCACCCAUUUGUUUUGAAUAAUAGAGCUUCUAAAUCGACGAUCGACACCUUUGAACAUGAUCUAUACCAUUUGAAGUCUUUAGAAAUCAAAUUUCAUGCAUUUUCGAUAUUGUUCUCUUAUCCAUCGAGUGGACACAAAAAUAAACGGCUGAAAAUGAAUAUUCUUUAAAAAAUAAUAAUAAGAGCCUUAUAAUCAAGAUCAAGAAUAUAAAUCUUAUUUUAAAUAGUUUAAAGAAUUUUCUAAUAAAAAUUUAAUUGAUUUGGAUAUCUUAACGCCGUUAAGCGAGAAAACAACUCAUACUGAUCAUUAAAAUUACAAAUUUUGAAACCCUUUAAUCAUUAGGCAAAUAAUAUCGAAAAGAUUUGAAAUUUGAUUUCUAAGCACUUAAAGUGGUAUACAUCAUGUUCAACGGUGCUGAUCAUCGAUUUGGAGGCUCUACCAUCGAAAACAAAUGGAUGGUAAUGGAGUCCGUUUGCUAUCGAUAAUAUUCUAGCUCAACUAUAUAUAUAUAUAUAUA